AUUGAACGCUGGCGGCAGGCCUAACACAUGCAAGUCGAGCGGAUGAAGGGAGCUUGCUCCUGGAUUCAGCGGCGGACGGGUGAGUAAUGCCUAGGAAUCUGCCUGGUAGUGGGGGAUAACGCCCGGAAACGGGCGCUAAUACCGCAUACGUCCUGAGGGAGAAAGUGGGGGAUCUUCGGACCUCACGCUAUCAGAUGAGCCUAGGUCGGAUUAGCUAGUUGGUGGGGUAAAGGCCUACCAAGGCGACGAUCCGUAACUGGUCUGAGAGGAUGAUCAGUCACACUUGAACCGAGACCCCGUCCAGACUCCUAAGGGAGGCAGCAGUGGGGAAUAUUGGACCAUGGGCGAAAGCCUGAUCCAGCCAUGGCGCGUGUGUGAAGAAGGUCUUCGGAUUGGAAAGCACUUUAAGUUGGGAGGAAGGGCAGUAAGUUAAUACCUUGCUGUUUUGACGUUACCAACAGAAUAAGCACCGGCUAACUUCGUG
rnacentral:rRNA from 1 species